GGGCUUGACAUCCCACGAAUCCCUUCGAAAGAAGGGAGUGCCCGCAAGGGAGCGCGGAGACAGGUGGUGCAUGGCUGUCGUCAGCUCGUGUCGUGAGAUGUUGGGUUAAGUCCCGCAACGAGCGCAACCCUCACCUCUUGUUGCCAACAGGUCAUGCUGGGCACUCUAGAGGAACUGCCCCGGUCAACGGGGAGGAAGGUGGGGAUGACGUCAAGUCAUCAUGCCCCUUACGUCCUGGGCUACACACGUGCUACAAUGGCCGGUACAAAGGGACGCAAGACCGCGAGGUGGAGCUAACCCCAAAAAGCCGGUCUAAGUUCAGAUUGGAGUCUGCAACUCGACUCCAUGAAGGAGGAAUCGCUAGUAAUCGCGCAUCAGCACGGCGCGGUGAAUACGUUCCCGGGCCUUGUACACACCGCCCGUCACACCACGAAAGCCAGCUGUACUCGAAGUCGCUGAG
rnacentral:rRNA from 1 species